GUNACGCUAGCGACGGCCUAACACAUGCAAGUCGAGGGGUAACGAAAGUAGCUUGCUACUAGGCGACGACCGGCGCACGGGUGAGUAACACGUAUGCAACCUACCUUUUACAGAGGGAUAGCCCAGAGAAAUUUGGAUUAAUACCUCAUAGUAUUUUUGAAUCGCAUGAUUUAGAGAUUAAAACUCCGGUGGUAAAAGAUGGGCAUGCGUUCUAUUAGUUAGUUGGUGAGGUAACGGCUCACCAAGGCGACGAUAGAUAGGGGUUCUGAGAGGAUAGUCCCCCACACUGGUACUGAGACACGGACCAGACUCCUACGGGAGGCAGCAGUGAGGAAUAUUGGUCAAUGGCCGCAAGGCUGAACCAGCCAUGUCGCGUGAAGGAUGACGGCCCUAUGGGUUGUAAACUUCUUUUAUAUGGGAAGAAAAGUAGUUACGUGUAACUAUCUGCCGGUACCAUAUGAAUAAGGAUCGGCUAACUCCGUGCCAGCAGCCGCGGUAAUACGGAGGAUCCAAGCGUUAUCCGGAUUUAUUGGGUUUAAAGGGUGCGUAGGCGGCUCUAUAAGUCAGUAGUGAAAUCUCGAGGCUCAACCUCGAACGUGCUAUUGAAACUGUAGAGCUUGAGUACAGACGAGGCAGGCGGAAUGUGUUAUGUAGCGGUGAAAUGCAUAGAUAUAACACAGAACACCGAUAGCGAAGGCAGCUUGCCAGACUGUAACUGACGCUGAUGCACGAAAGCGUGGGUAGCGAACAGGAUUAGAUACCCUGGUAGUCCACGCCGUAAACGAUGAUUACUGGUUGUAGGC
rnacentral:rRNA from 1 species